rnacentral:rRNA from 1 species
UACGAAGGGGGCUAGCGUUGCUCGGAAUUACUGGGCGUAAAGGGAGCGUAGGCGGAUAGUUUAGUCAGAGGUGAAAGCCCAGGGCUCAACCUUGGAAUAGCCUUUGAUACUGGCUGUCUUGAGUUCGGGAGAGGUGAGUGGAAUGCCGAGUGUAGAGGUGAAAUUCGUAGAUAUUCGGCGGAACACCAGUGGCGAAGGCGACUCACUGGCCCGAUACUGACGCUGAGGCGCGAAAGCGUGGGGAGCAAACAGG